UACACUCCUACGGGAGGCAGCAGUGGGGAAUUUUGGACAAUGGGCGAAAGCCUGAUCCAGCAAUGCCGCGUGAGUGAAGAAGGCCUUCGGGUUGUAAAGCUCUUUUGUCAGGGAAGAAACGGUGAGAGCUAAUAUCUUUUGCUAAUGACGGUACCUGAAGAAUAAGCACCGGCUAACUACGUGCCAGCAGCCGCGGUAAUACGUAGGGUGCAAGCGUUAAUCGGAAUUACUGGGCGUAAAGCGUGCGCAGGCGGUUUUGUAAGUCUGAUGUGAAAUCCCCGGGCUCAACCUGGGAAUUGCAUUGGAGACUGCAAGGCUAGAAUCUGGCAGAGGGGGGUAGAAUUCCACGUGUAGCAGUGAAAUGCGUAGAUAUGUGGAGGAACACCGAUGGCGAAGGCAGCCCCCUGGGUCAAGAUUGACGCUCAUGCACGAAAGCGUGGGGAGCAAACAGGAUUAGAAACCCGUGUAGUCC
rnacentral:rRNA from 1 species